UGAAUACGAGACGCUAAGGCGUCGAAGUAGUGUAUGUCAUACUUCCAAGAAAAGCUUGCACUGUCAUAAGUAAAAAAUGCCUGUACCAUAACCGACACAGGUGGGUAGGUAGAGUAUACUAAGGGGCGCGAGAUAACUCUCUCUAAGGAACUCGGCAAAAUAACUCCGUAACUUCGGGAGAAGGAGUACCUUAUUCUAUAAGGUUGCAAUAACAAGAUCCAAGCAACUGUUUAUCAAAAACACAGGUCUCCGCUAAGUCGUAAGACGAUGUAUGGGGGCUGACGCCUGCCCAGUGCCAGAAGGUUAAAGAAGUCGGUUAGCAUUAGCGAAGCUGGUAACUGAAGCCCUGGUGAACGGCGGCCGUAACGAUAACGGUCCUAAGGUAGCGAAAUUCCUUGUCGGGUAAGUUCCGACCCGCACGAAAGGCGUAAUGAUUUGGAUACUGUCUCGGAGAGGGGCUCGGUGAAAUAGACUUGUCUGUGAAGAUGCGGACUACCUGCACCAGGACAGAAAGACCCUAUGAAGCUUUACUGUAACUUGAAAUUGAAAUUGGACUUUAUUCGCGCAGUAUAGGUGGGAGGUGUUGAUUAUAAUCUUGCGGGAUUAUUGGAGCCAUCAGUGAGAUACCACUCUUGUAAUGUUAGAUUUCUAACUUUGAAUCAUUAUCUGGUCAAAGGACAGUUUCAGGCGGGCAGUUUGACUGGGGCGGUCGCCUCCCAAACGGUAACGGAGGCGUACAAAGGUUUCCUCUGAACGGGUAGAAAUCGUAUCUAGAGUGUAAAGGCAUAAGGAAGCUUGACUGUGAGACCUACAAGUCGAACAGGGACGAAAGUCGGUCUUAGUGAUCUGACGGUACUGAGUGGAAAGGCCGUCACUCAACGGAUAAAAGUUACUCUAAGGAUAACAGGCUGAUCUCCCCCAAGAGUUCACAUCGACGGGGAGGUUUGGCACCUCGAUGUCGGCUCAUCGCAUCCUGGGGCGGUAGUACGUCCCAAGGGUUGGGCUGUUCGCCCAUGAAAGCGGUACGCGAGCUGGGUUCAGAACGUCGUGAGACAGUUCAGUCCAUAUCCGGUGUAGGCGUUAGAAUAUUGAGAGGAGCCUUCUUUAGUACGAGAGGACCGAGAAGGACAUACCUCUGGUGUACCAGUUAUCGUGCCAACGGUAAACGCUGGGUAGCUAUGUAUGGAGUGGAUAACCGCUGAAAGCAUCUAAGUGGGAAGCCCACCUCAAGAUAAGUAUUCAC
rnacentral:rRNA from 1 species